GACGAACCGUGCGAACGUUAUUCGGAAUCACUGGGCUUAAAGCGCGUGUAGGCGGGCCGGCACGUCGGCCGCUGAAAUCCCCCGGCUCAACCGGGGAAGCGGCGCCGAUACGACCGGCCUGGAGGGGAGUAGGGGGGCCUGGAACUUCCGGUGGAGCGGUGAAAUGCGUUGAGAUCGGAAGGAACGCCCGUGGCGAAAGCGAGGCCCUGGACUCCUGCUGACGCUGAGACGCGAAAGCCAGGGGAGCGAACGGG
rnacentral:rRNA from 1 species